GUGCAGAAUCACCCACUGAGUCCCAGACACAAACUGCAUGAGGGUCUACACAGGUAAGAAGGUUGGUCCCCGAGGCCUGGGGCUCCAGGCCCCCUCAGCUCUAGGACCCUGAGCCCAGCCCCUGUAUCCCUCUGCCCUCCCAAUGGACUCCAGGCCCCUGCUGGGCACACUCACACUGCACAGAGAGGUCCAGGGCUCGCUGCUGAGAGCCAAGCCUGUUCUCCGCUCGGCAGGUGUAGCGCCCUGAAUCCCCAGCCUUCACCCCGGGCAGCUCCAGCCCCAGGGGUCUGGGGCCCCAGGGAUGGGACGAGGAGAGGACUCUAUCCUGCAGGACCCAGCUCAGUGUGGCAGGGGGCUGGCUGUCAGCAGCACAGAGGAGCCGCAGGAACUGGCCUUUCUGGGCUUCCAGGGAAAAGAAAGUGGGACUAUCCCGGGUAGACAAGUGACAACCAGCACCAGGGCUCACGUGUGUGGACCAGACGCCAUUCCCAUCCCUCUCCCAGGGCUGCGGCGGCAUCCUGGGACCCCACAGCUUCCUCUCCCUGGAUGCUCCUGAGCUGGGAGCCACUCACUGCCCCUCUGGGCUCCUCCCACCACCUACCCACCGGGUCUGUCUGAAUGCCCCAC
rnacentral:antisense_RNA from 1 species